rnacentral:rRNA from 1 species
AUACGGAGGAUGCAAGCGUUAUCCGGAUUUAUUGGGUUUAAAGGGUGCGUAGGCGGAUGAUUAAGCGUGAGGUGAAAUGCCACUGCUCAACAGUGGAACUGCCUCGCGAACUGGUUGUCUUGAAUGCUCCUGCCGUGGGAGGAAUGUGUGGUGUAGCGGUGAAAUGCAUAGAGAUCACACAGAACACCGUUUGCGAAGGCAUCUCACGAAGGGUUGAUUGACGCUGAGGCACGAAAGCGUGGGGAUCAAACAGGAUUAGAUACCCUGGUAGUCCACGCAGUAAACGAUGAUGGCUAACCGCUGGGCUUAUCAGUUCAGUGGCCAAGCGAAAGCGAUAAGCCAUCCACCUGGGGAGUACGACCGCAAGGUUGAAACUCAAAGGAAUCGACGGGG